AAAGACAGCUGUAAACCUCCGUUGUUACAACUCAUUGCCUAGUGUCUACCGCGUAAACAUUAACCGCCAUAAAAUAAAACACUCCUCGUCGCCGUCAUCGGUGAUAAUUCCGACCCAACACUCCGUCUUUAUAUUUUCUCUCCAAAAUUCCAAAUCCCUCCUGCAUAAAACUAACAAUCCGAUCAAAACCCUAACCCUAAACUUAGACGAUGUUUAUCCUUUUGUCUGUUCGUCUUAAUUCUCCCCCCGAUUUCAUGAAAACUUCGAUCAAAAUCUUCACUUUGCGGAGUAAUUCUGUCUUUCAAACGUCAAUUAGUCCUCGUAACAGUGUCAAUUAGUAUUUGAGACGGGAAUUCUAGGGUUUGGAGGUGAUUCCGGUAUCCACUUGUUUCAGGCAACGAAACAGUGCCAGUUAAUCUCUGAGACAGUAAUGCUAGGCAGCUAGGGUUUCAUCGGAAUUGAUCGAAGUAGAAGAAUUAUACGCCAAAGUUCAGUCUUCCCACGCUGUAAGCAUUUACUGAGCUUGUCAAGGGACUAUGGAUGCAAAGAGGUUAAACGUUGCUUCUUUUUCGCAAUCCUUUGUCAUUACUCUCUGCUGCUCAUUAAAAGAGGUCCUACUAAGCGUUAAGGAACUGAUUUAGCAGAUAGCUCAAGAAUCCCUUUUUCCACCAGAUGGCUGAGCAAUUGCAGCAAACCCUUCAGGACACCUGCUAUUGUGGAACCACAAUUUGAUCCUCAGCAGUAAUCUUCCACUAUGCUGCAAGCCAACACGUGAUAGAGAAUCCUUAGUUUAAGAACGUCUUAGUAGUGCUUCGAGGCAGGUUUGAACCUUCAAAUUUCUUGAAGUAGAGAUGGAGAGCAAGGUCUUUGGCGCAACAUAAAUAUUUGAUUACCAAGUACAAGUAGUACGGAAUACAAUUCAAGAUAUUACGUAAAAGUUUAAGCUGUUUUUUUUAAGAUUUUUUAUUUGCAGUUGACAUUCUGAGGCAUUUCUUUAACUAUGUUGUUAGUUGGAACAAAUAUUUUAGAAGAAAUAAGCCGUUAACUUAUAACUCAGUUGAACUUCUAUUUGGAUUCAUGAAAUUGCGAUUUUUUUUUAUAA